UACGUAGGGGGCUAGCGUUGUUCGGAAUUACUGGGCGUAAAGCGCGCGUAGGCGGACCUGCAAGUCGGGGGUGAAAGCCCGAGGCUUAACCUCGGAACUGCCCUCGAUACUGCGGGUCUCGAGUCCGGGAGAGGUGAGUGGAAUUCCUAGUGUAGAGGUGAAAUUCGUAGAUAUUAGGAAGAACACCAGUGGCGAAGGCAGCCCGCUGGGACGGUACUGACGCUGAGGCGCGAAAGCGUGGGGAGCGAACAGG
rnacentral:rRNA from 1 species